GCUGAGUUUAAGCAUAUCAAUAAA
rnacentral:rRNA from 2 species